UAGCUGCAAUUAAUCAAGCUCUUGGCCCGGUAAUGCAUACUCACCCAUACUACAUAUUAUGAUUCGAUUGAUCGCAUUGAUCGAUCGGCGACUUCCUCCCUCAUGGAUGGAUGGAGAUGGAGUACUAGCUACUCUAGUCAUCCUCCUGUUUGUUUGUUGUUUUUUCUUCCUUUUGGAUUUUGGGUUUUUGGUGAGAUGAAUUAGUUAGAUGAUUUGUUGGCAGGAUGAUUACUGCCUUCCAAGCGUAACUAUUGGCAGGAUGGAUAUGUAUCCUGCGGCUGGACUAUGAUGAUGAUGAUGAUGAUGAUCAUAUUGAUCAAUCAAUUGUAAAUGAAAUUAUUGGGGAAAGAGCGGGGUACGCGUGUGCGCUGCCACCAAUUUUUCGAAAUGAAAUUUUCUGACUUCCAACUUGUACGCACGGUGCUAACACUGCAUGGAUUUAAUCACAAUUUAAUAUCUGCUGUCC
rnacentral:lncRNA from 1 species